GUAGAGCACUGUUUCGGCUAGGGGGUCAUCCCGACUUACCAAACCGAUGCAAACUCCGAAUACCUAUGAGUACUAUCCGGGAGACAGACUGCGGGUGCUAACGUCCGUAGUCAAGAGGAAAACAAUC
rnacentral:rRNA from 1 species